rnacentral:tRNA from 1 species
GGGCGCGUAGCUCAGUUGGUUAGAGCGCCUGCUUCACACGCAGGAGGUCUGGGGUUCGAGUCCCCGCGCGCCCACCA